GCCUUCGUGGCGUAGUGGUUAGCACGCUCGACGCGUAUUCGAGAGGUUCGUGGUUCGAGUCCCGGCGGGGGUA
rnacentral:tRNA from 1 species